GACGAACGCUGGCGGCGUGCUUAACACAUGCAAGUCGAACGGAAAGGCCCUGCUUUUGUGGGGUGCUCGAGUGGCGAACGGGUGAGUAACACGUGAGUAACCUGCCCUUGACUUUGGGAUAACUUCAGGAAACUGGGGCUAAUACCGGAUAGGAGCUCCUGCUGCAUGGUGGGGGUUGGAAAGUUUCGGCGGUUGGGGAUGGACUCGCGGCUUAUCAGCUUGUUGGUGGGGUAGUGGCUUACCAAGGCUUUGACGGGUAGCCGGCCUGAGAGGCGGACCGGCGACAUUGGGACUGAGAUACGGCCCAGACUCCUACGGGAGGCAGCGGUGGGGAAUAUUGCACAAUGGGCGGAAGCCUGAUGCAGCAACGCCGCGUGCGGGAUGACGGCCUUCGGGGUGUAAACCGCUUUCGCCUGUGACGAAGCGUGAGUGACGGUAAUGGGUAAAGAAGCACCGGCUAACUACGUG
rnacentral:rRNA from 1 species